CAUAACCUUUAGCUAACCAGGUAUUAAAGGCGACGCCUGCCCAGUGAAAAAUUAAACGGCCGCGGUAUCCUAACCGUGCAAAGGUAGCACAAUCAUUUGUCUAUUAAUUGUAGACCUGUAUGAAAGGCAAAAUGAGAGCCCAACUGUCUCUUAUAACAAAUCAAUUAAACUGAUCUCCUAGUACAAAAGCUAGAAUACCAACAUAAGACCAGAAGACCCUGUGAAGCUUUAACUAACCUAUUAAACCCAAUAAUAGCUACUUUAGGUUGGGGCGACCUUGGAAUAAAAAAGAACUUCCAAUCUAUGACUCCCUCAUAAAUUUAAGGCGGACAAGCCUAACACUAGACCCAGCAC
rnacentral:rRNA from 1 species